rnacentral:lncRNA from 1 species
UUGCAGACCAAACCCUGAGUCACUGGGGACUAGGAAAAGUAUGACUUCUGUCUUCUUUUCAGUUUCUUUCAGAUUGUGGCCAUGCUUUCCUAGACUCUUGGCUUUUUCUCUCAUCUCUCAUUGUCUCUGUCUGUACUACCCACUGCUCCUUGUGCUGUGUGGCUGUCCACAAACACAAGCAACACACUGUUCUCCCUUUGUAUUCCUCCUUCACACAGCUGCCAAGGUUACAGCUUGCCUGCCCUGGGGUUUUUUCUUUAAACUUAAGUAAACUUAUCCUUAAAAAGUGCAAGUUAUCCUAUGCUAUGUAGCAAGUAUUGGCUACAUAGCACAGCCUAGGAUACACCUUAAAAUAAAAAAUAAAAUAAAAAUAAAAAUAAUACAUAAUAAUAUGUAUUAUUCAUCCAUAGAACCAUAUCAUCUCAAAUUAUCAUCUCAUGGACAUUGUUGUAUGUCAAACUCCUCCAUCCUGAUAUUUUGAAACAAAGCCCAGAUGUGUGUGUGUGUGUGUGUGUGUGUGUGUGUGUGUGUGUAUUUGUGAAAGAAUUGCCACGCAGAAAAAGUUAGAUGACUGGUGGGCAUGGUAGCACAUGCUUUUUUCUCAUGAGUUCAAGGUUAGCCUGAUCUACAUAGACAGUUUCAGGUCCCAUCUCAAAAAAACAACAAAAUUAAAUGACUUUUUACUAUCACCAAAUGACCCACUGUUCAUUUGGUUUAUCUGGCUUUCAUAUUUAUUUUUUAAAAUAUACUUCACUUUCUUCCUCAUUUCUUAUCAGUUGCUAGUUAGAUCACAGACUGGACUAUUCUUUAUAUAUUAUAUCCAUGAUUUCACUGGAAGCUAUAAAAUGAAGUUACUAAUUCUGUUGCUUCAUAGAGUAUCAAGAAUGUUUGAGUUGUUUCCAAAAUAGUAGCAGUUAAUAUGUACACUGAAAUGUGAUUAGUGAAACUGAGGAAUUUAAAGCUGAUUAUAUUGAAUUUUAAUUAAUUUAAAGCUUAAAAGUGAGCUGGGUAGCCAUGUCUGGUAGUGUGUAGGUCUGAAACCCUAACUCCUGAGAAGACUGAGGCAGGAGGAGCCUAAGUUCAGGCACAGUAUGAGUUCAAGGCCAACCUACACAACUUAGAACCUCUAAAGAAAGAGUGGUGGUUAAAAGCAUUUGCAGUCCGGUUCCUAGCACCCAUCUGGCAGCUCACGACCAUCCAUAACUCAAGUUCCAAAGGACCUGGCACCCUUUUCUGGCCUCCACAGGCACCAGACAUGCACUAGGUAUGUUUAUAUACAUUGAGGCAAAGCACUCAUUCACAUAAAAAUAGUUCUUCCAGCACUCAGAAGGCAGGGGCUGUUUGAGGCCAGACAGGGCCACAUAGUGAGACCCUGGCUCAAUAAACAAAUCAAUCUUUAGGGGUGCAAAAGAAGCCUAAGGAUACAGCUCAAUGAAGCUCUCACCUGACAUGCAGAGGAGGAGCAGGAGGAGAGGAAAAGAGAAAUCAGAGCCCGUAAGGUGGGGCUUGAACCUGGAGACUCGGCUCCUCGGGAAGCUGAAGCAAGAGACUCAUCUGAGCAUAGAAGUGUUUAAGAUCAGCCUGGGCAGCACAGCAAGGACAGGUCGCAAAUGUAGGAAAAAGGGGGGCCUUUGAUUGAAAAUAAAUAUCCAUGAAGCUCAGCUGUGGCUCAGUGCUCUGGAGACAGGCCAGCAGAUCUCUGUAAGGGCAGCCUGCUCAGUGAGCUCGGCUAGGCAGGACUACACAGUGAGACCUGCUGUAAAAACAAAUCUGCUCCCACUUCUUAGCAAGAAUCGCUAUAGUGAGUUCUUUAUUUUUUCCUCUGUAUGUACAUAUGUGAAUGUAGGUAUUGAUACAUAGUUAUACAUUCUUUAAAUAAUUACAGACUGUAGUCAAAUGAGAUGGCUCAGUUGGUAAAGGCCUUGCCGACAAGCCUGGAAACCUGGAGUUCAGUCCUCAGGACCCACAUGGAAGGAGAGAACUGAGUCCUUUAAAUUGCCCUCUUACUUCCACAUGAAUACCAUGUAACAAGGAUCCCUCACAAACAUACAGGUCAGAAACUAAAGGAGUGUAAUGAAAUAAUAAGAUUUACAUUUUCACUAUUUAUGCUAGUACAUAAAAUAAUCUGUAUUUUACUUUUUAUUAUGUUAUAGAGCCCAGGGCGUCAUGCAUGAUAGGCAGGUACUCUACCACCAGAGCUACAUCCCUAGCUCUAAUUUUGUGUUUUUGAGAUGGGAUCUUACUAUAUGUCCCAGGCUGCUCUCAGUACCCGGGAGUGCUGGGAUAAUAGACUGCUCUUUCAAAAGACCUAGGUUCUGCUUCUUAGCACCCAUCUGGCGGCUCAUAAUCAUUAGUAGCAGUUCCCUGGGAUCCGAUGCCUUCUGGCCUCCACGGGCACUGAUGCAUGUGGUGAGCAAACAUUGCAGGUAUAGCACCUACACACAUAAAAUAGAAAUAAAGGCUUACCAGGCAAUGGUGGCGCACGCCUUUAGUCUCAGCACUUGGGAGGCAGAGGCAGGCGGAUUUCUGAGUUCAUGACCAGCCUGGUCUACAAAGUAAGUUCCAGGACAGUCAGGGCUACACAGAGAAACCCUGUCUUGGAAAAAAAAAAAAAAAAAGAAAAAGAAAAGGGCUUAAAAAAUAAAAUCAGCUAUCAUAGAAUGCACCUAUAAUCAUACUGCUUACAAGGUAGAGACAGGAGGAUGUCAAAUUUGUUGCUGGCCUGAGCUACAGAGUGAAUGAGGUCAACCUGAGCUACAUAGUAAGACCUUGUCUCGGAAUAAAACAAAACAAGACAAAAAAAAAUUUUGGUGCUAUUGGUGUUAAAAGUGUUAAUGACAUUGACUGAGACAGAUAAAGGCAUUAUAUAUUGGAAAUGUUUGAAUUGCAUUUAUGUUUUGUAUAUAUAUAAAUGCAUGCUUGUAUGGGCAUGUAAAGGUCAGAAGACAACUGUGCAGAAAUUGGUGUUGUCCUUUUCAUGUGGGACCUAGGAGUUGAACAAAGGUGAUUGGGUGUGGCAGCAAGUGCUUCCACUCAUUGAACCAUCUUGGGGAAAUCACAUAUUAAAGAUCCUUGAAGUUUGAAGGGAGAAGGGAGGGUAUUGAAGAAAAUAG